rnacentral:tRNA from 1 species
CACAGAGUGGAGCAGUCUUGUAGCUCGUCGGGUUCAUAGCCCGAAGGUCGGUGGUUCAAAUCCAUCUUCUGUGUCCA